GAACGGUGAAGCCAAGCUUGCUUGGUGGAUCAGUGGCGAACGGGUGAGUAACACGUGAGCAACCUGCCCUGGACUCUGGGAUAAGCGCUGGAAACGGCGUCUAAUACUGGAUAUGAGACGUGAUCGCAUGGUCGUGUUUGGAAAGAUUUUUCGGUCUGGGAUGGGCUCGCGGCCUAUCAGCUUGUUGGUGAGGUAAUGGCUCACCAAGGCGUCGACGGGUAGCCGGCCUGAGAGGGUGACCGGCCACACUGGGACUGAGACACGGCCCAGACUCCUACGGGAGGCAGCAGUGGGGAAUAUUGCACAAUGGGCGGAAGCCUGAUGCAGCAACGCCGCGUGAGGGAUGACGGCCUUCGGGUUGUAAACCUCUUUUAGCAGGGAAGAAGCGAAAGUGACGGUACCUGCAGAAAAAGCGCCGGCUAACUACGUGCCAGCAGCCGCGGUAAUACGUAGGGCGCAAGCGUUAUCCGGAAUUAUUGGGCGUAAAGAGCUCGUAGGCGGUUUGUCGCGUCUGCUGUGAAAUCCCGAGGCUCAACCUCGGGCCUGCAGUGGGUACGGGCAGACUAGAGUGCGGUAGGGGAGAUUGGAAUUCCUGGUGUAGCGGUGGAAUGCGCAGAUAUCAGGAGGAACACCGAUGGCGAAGGCAGAUCUCUGGGCCGUAACUGACGCUGAGGAGCGAAAGGGUGGGGAGCAAACAGGCUUAGAUACCCUGGUAGUCCACCCCGUAAACGUUGGGAACUAGUUGUGGGGACCAUUCCACGGUUUCCGUGACGCAGCUAACGCAUUAAGUUCCCCGCCUGGGGAGUACGGCCGCAAGGCUAAAACUCAAAGGAAUUGACGGGGACCCGCACAAGCGGCGGAGCAUGCGGAUUAAUUCGAUGCAACGCGAAGAACCUUACCAAGGCUUGACAUAUACGAGAACGGGCCAGAAAUGGUCAACUCUUUGGACACUCGUAAACAGGUGGUGCAUGGUUGUCGUCAGCUCGUGUCGUGAGAUGUUGGGUUAAGUCCCGCAACGAGCGCAACCCUCGUUCUAUGUUGCCAGCACGUAAUGGUGGGAACUCAUGGGAUACUGCCGGGGUCAACUCGGAGGAAGGUGGGGAUGACGUCAAAUCAUCAUGCCCCUUAUGUCUUGGGCUUCACGCAUGCUACAAUGGCCGGUACAAAGGGCUGCAAUACCGUGAGGUGGAGCGAAUCCCAAAAAGCCGGUCCCAGUUCGGAUUGAGGUCUGCAACUCGACCUCAUGAAGUCGGAGUCGCUAGUAAUCGCAGAUCAGCAACGCUGCGGUGAAUACGUUCCCGGGUCUUGUACACACCGCCCGUCAAGUCAUGAAAGUCGGUAACACCUGAAGCCGGUGGCC
rnacentral:rRNA from 1 species